AUGCAUUGGCUCCGCAACGGCGAGGCCUCAUUUGCCUUCUUGUGUGUUCACGCCUCCCAUCGCAAGCAGAAAAACUGGAUCCUCACUCUGCAAUGCGGCAAUGAGACCGUUUUCGGGGACAAUGCUCUUUCUAGGGCUGCAUUUGAGCACUUUACGUCCAUCCUGGGCACGGCUACCCCGCGCGACUUUUCGCUCAAGCUGGCGAAGAUCGACCCCCGCCAUUUUGGCCUUUCGGAGUUAGAGCACCCAUGCACGAAGGACAAGGUUUGGUGCGGUAUCAAGCUGCCGCCAACUGGCAAGGCACCGAGCCCAAAGGGGUUCUCGGACGAAUUCCUUCGCCAUUGCUGGGGCAUUGUGGAGGCUGACUUCAUGGAGGCGUUCGACAAGCUCUACUGCAUGAAUGGCCGCGGUUUCCAUUUCUUGAAUGAGGCUUUGAUUACCCUCAUGCCGAAGUGUUCGGAUGCGUCCUCCCUUUUUGACUACAGACCGAUUAGCGUGAUUCACCUUGCGGCGAAGUUGAUGGCCAAGGUGCUUUCCCUGCGACCUGCUCCACGGCUUGGUGAGCUCAUCUCCGUCAACAAGAGUGUGUUCAUUGCGGGGCGGUGCAUCCACGAUAAUUUCAUGCUUAUGCAUCACACAUCUCGUCACCUUCACCGGACUGGGGCUCACUGGGUCCUCCUUAAGCUUGAUAUCUCCCAGGCGUUCGACUCCGUGUCAUGGUCGUUCUUGCUCGAAAUCCUUUACCAUCUAAGAUUCGGCCAAAGGUGGCACGAAUGGGUCUCCAUUCUUCUUUCUUUGACGAGCACACACAUCCUUGUUAACGGCUCGUCGGGGCCACUGAUUCUGCAGGCCAAGGGCCCACGACAGGGUAACCCUUCUCCCCGAUGCUUUUCACCCUAG
rnacentral:rRNA from 1 species